GCUUAACACAUGCAAGUCGAGGGGUAACAGGUUCUUUCGGGAAUGCUGACGACCGGCGCACGGGUGAGUAACGCGUAUGCAACCUGCCUGUAUUCGAAGGAUAGGCCUUGGAAACGAGGAUUAAUACUUCAUAACAUUUUGAUUUCGCAUGGAAUUAUAAUCAAAACUUCGGUGAAUACAGAUGGGCAUGCGUACCAUUAGUUAGAUGGUGAGGUAACGGCUCACCAUGGCGAUGAUGGUUAGGGGUCCUGCAAGGAAGGUCCCCCACACUGGUACUGAGACACGGACCAGACUCCUACGGGAGGCAGCAGUGAGGAAUAUUGGUCAAUGGAGGGAAUUCUGAACCAGCCAAGCCGCGUGAAGGAAGACUGUCCUAUGGAUUGUAAACUUCUUUUCUGGCAGAAUAAAUAUAGCUACGUGUAGUUAUUUGCAGGUAUGCCAUGAAAAAGCAUCGGCUAACUCCGUGCCAGCAGCCGCGGUAAUACGGAGGAUGCAGGCGUUAUCCGGAUUUAUUAGGUUUAAAGGGUGUUCAGGCUGUCUGGUAAGUCAGAGGUGAAAGUCGUUUGCUUAACGAACGAAUUGCCUUUGAAACUGUCAGACUCGAGUAUGGAUGCGGUAGGCGGAAUGUGUAGUGUAGCGGUGAAAUGCAUAGAUAUUACACAGAACACCGAUUGCGAAAGCAGCUUACCAAACCAGCACUGACGCUGAAGCACGAAAGCGUGGGUAGCGAACAGGAUUAGAUACCCUGGUAGUCCACGCAGUAAACUUUGCUCACUCGCUGUUGGCGAUAUACAGUCAGCGGCUAAGGGAAACCGAUAAGUGAGCCACCUGGGGAGUACGAUCGCAAGAUUGAAACUCCCAAGGAAUUGACGGUGGCCCGCACAAGCGGUGGAACCAUGUGGUUCAAUUCGAUGAUACGCG
rnacentral:rRNA from 1 species